rnacentral:rRNA from 1 species
AAUAGAUACCCUGGUAGUCCACGCCGUAAACGAUGAGAACUAGAUGUUAGGGGGCUUAGACCUUUUAGUAUCGCAGCAAACGCGUUAAGUUCUCCGCCUGGGGAGUACGGCCGCAAGGUUAAAACUCAAAUGAAUUGACGGGGGCCCGCACAAGCGGUGGAGCAUGUGGUUUAAUUCGAUGCAACGCGAAGAACCUUACCUACCUUUGAAUCCACGGAAUCUUGCAGAAAUGUGAGAGUGCCUUCGGGAACCGUGAGACAGGUGCUGCAUGGCUGUCGUCAGCUCGUGUCGUGAGAUGUUGGGUUAAGUCCCGUAACGAGCGCAACCCUUGUCCUUAGUUACCAGCGAGUUAUGUCGGGGACUUUAAGGAGACUGCCGGUGAUAAACCGGAGGAAGGUGGGGAUGACGUCAAGUCCUCAUGGCCCUUACAGGUAGGGCCACACACGUGCUACAAUGGCCGGUACAAAGGGUUGCCAACCCGCGAGGGGGAGCUAAUCUCAAAAAGCCGGUCGUAGUCCGGAUUGGAGUCUGCAACUCGACUCCAUGAAG